UACGUAGGGUGCGAGCGUUGUCCGGAAUUAUUGGGCGUAAAGGGCUCGUAGGCGGUUUGUCGCGUCGGGAGUGAAAUCCACUGGCUUAACUGGUGGCUUGCUUUCGAUACGGGCAGACUGGAGGUAUGCAGGGGAGAACGGAAUUCCUGGUGUAGCGGUGAAAUGCGCAGAUAUCUGGAGGAACACCGGCGGCGAAGGCGGGUUCCUGGGCCUUAACUGACGCUGAGACACGAAAGCUAGGGGAGCAAACAGG
rnacentral:rRNA from 1 species